AGCGAACGCUGGCGGCAGGCUUAACACUUGCAAGUCGAGCGGGCAUAGCAAUAUGUCAGCGGCAGACGGGUGAGUAACGCGUGGGAACGUACCUUUUGGUUCGGAACAACACAGGGAAACUUGUGCUAAUACCGGAUAAGCCCUUACGGGGAAAGAUUUAUCGCCGAAAGAUCGGCCCGCGUCUGAUUAGCUAGUUGGUGAGGUAAUGGCUCACCAAGGCGACGAUCAGUAGCUGGUCUGAGAGGAUGAUCAGCCACAUUGGGACUGAGACACGGCCCAAACUCCUACGGGAGGCAGCAGUGGGGAAUAUUGGACAAUGGGCGCAGGCCUGAUCCAGCCAUGCCGCGUGAGUGAUGAAGGCCCUAGGGUUGUAAAGCUCUUUUGUGCGGGAAGAUAAUGACGGUACCGCAAGAAUAAGCCCCGGCUAACUUCGUGCCAGCCGCCGCCGUAA
rnacentral:rRNA from 1 species